rnacentral:rRNA from 1 species
UACGUAGGGAGCAAGCGUUGUCCGGAAUCAUUGGGCGUAAAGCGCGCGUAGGCGGCCCGAUAAGUCCGCUGUGAAAGUCAACGGCUCAACUGUUGGAUGCCGGUGGAUACUGUCGGGCUAGAGUACGGAAGAGGCAAGUGGAAUUCCUGGUGUAGCGGUGGAAUGCGCAGAUAUCAGGAGGAACACCUAUAGCGAAGGCAGCUUGCUGGGACGUUACUGACGCUAAGGCGCGAAAGCGCGGGGAGCGAACAGG